UAAAUUCUCUCGUGAUACGCGUAAUUAUGAACAAAAUGUACAGCAGCGGCAAUGGGGGGUCUCGAUGUUUCUUUUUCUCCUUCUCUUUUCCUUUUCUCUUUAUCCCCCUUCUUCCUCUUUCUCUCUCUUUCUAUAUAUAUAUGUGUGUAUGUGUGCGUGUGCGUAUUGUAUAUAUAUAUAUAUAUAUAUAUUCUAUCUCCUUCCUUUUCGCUCGAUUCCUGCCUUUCUUCUCCGCUACCCCCUCUUGCUCCUUCGCUGACUGACUGACUCUGUCUGUCUCUCUGUUCUUGUCUGUUUGUCUCUUUCUCUCUCCCUCUCUCUCUCUUCGUCUUUCACGACUUUGCCGUAUUUUCCUCUUCCUUUCUCUUUUUCUCUGCCUCCUCCGAUCAAUCUAUUUUAUUCAGUCAACAUUAAGAAGGUUAAUAAGUCUAAUUCGAUUCGGAAAAAUAUUUCGUGUUAUUGAUAAGCACGCGUUUUUUUUCGUUCAACACACCUCACGACGCAUAAUGGAACAGCACUUUUUUCCUUCCUUCUUAUGGUCUCUCUGUCUCUGUCCUCUCUCUCGCUUUCUACUCGUUCGUUUCUCUUUCACGGCAUAGUGCACUCCGCUUAUCGGAAGAAAGGGGAAAAACUCAUCUGGAAGAUGGCCGCCGACCGCCUGUCACCGAUUUAUCCCUUUCUCGCAUGGCCACUCUAUGCGCGAGCGAAGAAACGACGGACAAAUAGGCGAACGUACGAACGUACGAACGUACGAACGAACGAACGAACGGACGUACGAACGAACGAACGUACGACCGUACGAACGUACGAACGUACGAACGAACGAACGAAUGAAUCUACGUGUACGUACUUACGUACGUACGUACGUACGUACUUACGUACCUAAGAGGAAAGGUACGAAAGAAAAGACGAGUUCGUAUACGUAAACGACGCCGCAGCUACCGUACGCGCUGCGUACCGCCGGCUGAUUACUAUGGAGGCGACGAUGGACGAAGGUAAAAGGACGAGAGACGUCGAAAGGCGAGUGUGUAUCUGUGUAUCCUUUUACAUGUACAGUCGCACACGGUAAGAGAGAGGGGAGAGAGAAAAAGGAGUGGGGGAGAGAAGGAAAGAAAGAGAGAGAGAGAGAGAAAGAAAGAAGGCAUAUACACGCACGCACGAAAAAAUCAGCAGCGCACUCUCGAUCGAGAAUGUCCAGUCGACAGGUAUAAAGUGAUAAAUUCUCUUUCCUUUACGACAAAUUUCGAGUUCACACGAUAACUACACGUUCGACCAACCGAAAAACGCGCCGGCUUAAAAUCGUGACGAUUUUCUUUUGUACGCACGCACUCAGUGCGCGAAAGACCAGUGACGUCGCUUUACUCGUUGCAGAUUCUCUCUCUCUUUUUCUCUCUCUCUCCCUCUUUCUCUUUUUCUCUUUUCUUCUAGCAUCACCCCUUUAGCGCUCUCUCGUUUCUCCCACUACUUCACUUGCUUCCUAUCUUUUUAACAGCUUCGGCUAUUAUCGGUGAGCUACGAUAUGUUUAUUCGGCACGUCAACUGACCAACUAGUCACAUGACUCGCGCAGAAAUCAUUUUUCUCCAUUUCUUUUUUCUAAGAUAUAAGUAUUCUUCCUAGAUUCUUAAUAUUACUCCCUUUAAGAUAUUUAACCUACGCAAUAUCUUCAUCGUCAUUUUUGUUGUCUUUCGAAUUUUCCAAACAUUAAUUCACGUUUAUUUAGUUAAAUUCGUAUAAUUAAAAAAAAACAUUAUAUAAAUUCUAAUUAAAGAAUGACAUUGUUAAAAAUAAUAUUAUAUUAUAAUAUUUUAGUUUUUAUCGAGCGAUAUAAAAUUGAUCGUGAGGUAUGUAACUAUGUACAUAUUUAUGUAUACAUGUAUGUAUGUAUGUAUGUAUGAUGUAUGUAUCAUUAUGACGUGAAGCGUGUCGCCAUUAUACCGGCGUGAAACGAUACCGAUUUGAUUCGAUAAGUCGAACAAUCGACGCUCACCACCACGUGACGCUCCAAUCGACGUUCUCAAUCGAACGGGAUUGGUAAGAUUCGUCCGUGAAAGUUAUGCGUGCGCACUUUUCAUAUAACCGAAGUAUAUAUAUAUACGACGAGUGCAUCGUGCUUCGAUUACGCGAAAACGAACAACCUUUACGGCUCCGCGUACGCGACAUCGGCCUUGAAUGUUAUCGUUGAAUCGACCUGUAUCAGUCCUGCCUUCUCAAUUCUCAACGAUACACGACGAUAUGAGUCAACUUGUACGAAAGACUUCGAUUUUCGAAAUAUUCGCUAAUAUUUAUUAUCAACCCAGGAGAGUUAAAUAUGUUCGUUUGAGGAAGUACUAUUAUAUAUAUAUAUACACGAAUUUUUAUAUUAUUAUUUUAUAUACGCGAAUUUUUUAUUAGCAAUAAUGAAUUUCAGCUAAUGAUAAAAAUGUCUCGUGAAAUUGAUAUUAUUAUCUUUUUUUCGGAGGACGCAUCAAAAAUAAUUGUCGAUAUCAAAAGAAAUCGAUUUUUCUUUUCGAACGAUUUUAUUCUCUUUAAUAAUUUUUUUUUUAAUUCUUUAGAUUCAAUCUGCUAUGAAAUAUAUUUUUCUCUUUUUCUUUUUCUUUUUUUUUUUUUUUUUUUUUUGAAAAAUGUUAAGAAAAAAAAAAUGUUUGAAUUAAUAUACACGUGUGUGUAUGUGUGUGUGUAUUCAGAACGUUUAGGAAAAUCGAAAGUGUAGAGAGGCGUGCCACUUUAUAGUAAUCAUAGUGUAAACUUGUCUAUACGUGUCAAAACGGUGUAUGUAUGUAUCCCUAUAUGUUCAUUAAAUUACUCUUCGAAUUCGUGCUGUAUUAAUUGUAUAAUCAAGGAUUUGGAUUUUAUAUAGAAAAAGAAAUUAAAAAAAAAAAAAAGAAACAGAAAAAAAAAAUUUUAAACAAGGUAAUUAUUAACCGAGGUCACAAAAUAAAAGCGCAUUAAGCGCAAGUUCGAAUUGGUUUUCUUGAGAGUACAGUGGGCGAGCGGGCGGGGGAUAGGGGUGGGGAGGGAAGGAGGGAUUACGUUAGUCGUAGUUAUCGACCAGCCCAUAACGACCUUGAAACUGAACGACUUUUAUAUGCGCCAAUGCGAUUCUCACGAAAUGAAACACGCCAAGCAGCCAUGAACGUGGAAUUAUAGUGAUCUGACUGUCGUGUAUCUUGCUGCAUUGAAGUACGUAGCAUACUUAAAAGGUAUACUCGAAAUUGUGUUCUAAUCCAUUCAUCACCACCUUCCCAUCCUACUCCAUCCAAGAAAAUAUCUUUUCGAGGCUCAGAGACAUGUCUAACUAUGUAAUCUGCAAAUCUUAGAUCCUCAGUAGUAAGAUGUAAUUGUCUUCUCAAUUCUGGAUCGGUAGCUUCUAUUCUUGUGUUUUCAACCUUCCAUAAAUAAUACAAAAUAAAAUCGCACGUGUUUUGGAUAUCACUGAAUUAUGACAUGAACUAAAAUAUGUACAGUAUUAUAUAUUUCAUAACAAACACUAUAUGUUAUACCUUCUUACCUAAAGUCUAAUAAUAUAUCGAACAAUUAAUAAAUAAUUAUUCUUAUAACUCACCUCAACCAGAACAUCAAUUAGUUGCUUUUUUUGUUUAAAUAAAACAUUUGUUGCUCCAACUACAUAUCCUCUAACAUUAAUAUCUCCUAAGAGAUCUAAGUAUGGUAAAGAUAAAUAAGGUAGACAAAGAUAUCCCUUAAAAAUAAUGAAUGAAUUUGAUUACAAGUAAUAAAGAAAACAUAUACUGAUUUUAAUUGAUUUUUAAAUAAAAAUCUUAUAUAUACCUUAGUAAAUAAACUUAAUGGCAAUCCGCAAUGUUCUGGAUUUAUAUGUGCUAUUUGAGUUAUAUUGUUGGUCAAUCGUGCAUCAGAUAAUGCAUCAUUACUUGUAUCGCGUGGUAAACUAUUAUCAGCAUCACCCAUGCCUAAAGUAAUUGUAUUGACGCUAUGAACUCUGUGUACAUUGUCAUUCGCUUUAGGUGAAUAUUUAGAAUUAUUUUCUUCAUAAUUUUCAGUGCAUUCUUGUGUUGACUCUACAUCAAUAAUUUUUCCAUUUAAAUUUUCAUUAUUAUUUUUUUGAAUAGUCAUAUUGCCAAAUGCAUCCAUACAUUUUCCUUCCAUUGUUUCAAUAGUUUUAUUAUCAUUUAUACACAAAGAAUUUCUAUUUGAGUUAUCAUUAAUAUUCUCAUGUGCAAGAUCUGAUAUGUUCUCUUUUAUAACAUUUGUAGUAGAUAAAUUAGAGUCAACACUAUUCAAUGCAAUUUCUUCAUCAUCAAAAGUCGGUAUAGGAGACAUAGGUCUAGACGGUCUAUAAGAAAACAAUUGUAAUAGAAGUAUAACUACAUAUAGUAAUAUGAAUUCAUCUAUUCAUUUAAAAUACUUGAUAAUAUAGUACUAUAUACUAGAUAAUAU